UGUCAGCCUUUCAAAGCCCACAUGAGUCAAAAUGAUAGAGCGCUGUUCCUUUUCAUGCCCGCAUUUUCCCUGCAAUUAUUCAGGAGAAAGUAGCAGUGAACUUUAUUACUGACAUAAAGAUAGAGAAAAGCUGGAUCUCCCAGCAGCUAGACUGUUUUCUAACAACUAGAAAUUUUACUUUUGACGGCAAUAUUUGAUUUGGAAACGGUGAAGAGUCAAGCAUGGAGUUCCCAGAUUUUAUGAGUGCUUUUCCAGGGACUGAAAACAGUUCCCUUGGCUGUGUCAGCUGCAGAGUUGCUGGCAUCUGCUUGGGAAGUGCUUUGACUGAUGGACCCAGCAGGCCAGAAGGAGAGCAAGCACUGAGGAAACCAUCGUACAGGAAGAGGCCAAAAGAAGACAGGUAAGACCUGGAUGACCUUGGCAGUCCUUGCAGAGGUGGAGAAGGAAAGAGUACAGAGAUGCUUACAAGUACUUCUCGUGAUAUAUCCAGCAAAAGAUGGCUCAGCAACCAUGCAGAACGCUUGCACUUCUCCAGAUGCUGAAAACUGCUGGGUCUAUUCUGAAAUGAAAAUCUGAUUAAGUGUAUCUUUGAUCUGACUAAAAUGUGUGCUUGAGAACCUUUGUGAAGUAGGUCCUCAGUGAAUACUGUGGCUUUCUGAUUAGCCACAGAAAAUAUGAAAAGAGCAAGAGCAACCUGCCAAGUCAUAAAUUUAUCUUUUCCAUGAUUAACUCCCUUCUAGAGAGGGCUGCACCAUCACUGUACAUUUAGGAUUAGUAUUCUUGGUACGUCCUUUGAUGUACUGUAUUGCUGUUUGUUUACCCCUAUGCAAAAUUAAGGUAACAAUACAGACUUUUUGGGAAGUGAUUUGCCAGUACAUACAUGGAAAAUUCAAUGAAUGAGCUAAAUAUUUGGCUCAAUCAUCCAGCAGCCCUUCGCUCCUACACUUUCUUAUUCUGUCCCUGGCCAGAACACUGUUAUUUGGAUAAUGGCAAAACCUAUCAAGAAAUGAGCAAGCCCUUUCAGUGAAAAUUAACGGAUGAACUUCUUUUCUCUGGAAUCAACAGUAUAAUAUCUACUCAUUGCAACAGGGAUGCACCCCUAGAGUUGAUAUUGUUCUCUGCCCUUCUGAGAAUCCUGCAGAAGAGCAGGAUCCUGUCCUUUGGGUGCACACUUGGUGGUCCAACUACAAGAAGGAGUUCUCACAUUCAACAGCCGGAGAGGCCAAUGUAGCAUUUUGAAGUUUUGUGAAUGUCAGACUUAGCAGAAGUUACAUAUCAAUUCCUUUAGAGGUCUUGGUCUUUGUUGCUUACACAGGGAAAUGAAGCCACAGUAUAUAUCCCAGUUUAACUCAGCUUCUGCAGUUUUCACUGGGCUGAUCACUGAAACUGUGGACAUCACCAGAGUUCAAAAAAUGUACUGCUUUAAGGUACCUCUAGUCACAACAACAAUUACAUUAACAACAUAAGAAGUUCUUGUAUGGACCUAUCUUUUCACAGACGUUGCAGGCAUUAUGAGAUAUGAGAGGGCUGUUGACUUUGCAUCAACCUUGGCACAGAUAGCUUAAAUUUUCUUAGUUGUUGUACACAAGGCCAGAUGGUUGAAAUAGCAGGUUCUAAGUUCAAGAUCUGUUCUGUUCUUGCUUUAGUUAAAAGUUUCUCCUAGAUCUGAUGUUGCUGUACCAGCAGUUUCUAUGUUUGCAGUUCAAUGACUAAAAUGCAUGUGCACUGUCAUAGCUGUUUCUUGCUCUGCAGAAAAUGUGUAUACUUACAGGUGCAUACAUAGUUCACCUUCCAAUUGUUUGAGUGGUUCUUGGCUUUAUUUACUGAGUUCAAGUCAAGGAGGCUGAAAAUGUGGUGUAAGGAAAAAUGAAGCCUUAAUGUACACACUCCAUGAAUUUUCUUUGUUCUAUCAAACCUACAGAGAAAGACUUGUUCAAAAGGGUCAUUUUCUUGUCAUUUUCAUAUAGCCUUCCCAUCCGUUGUAGUUCUCCUUCACUCCAGUACCACUCAGUGGAAAGUCUUCCAUGGUAUCAACUGCAAUGGAAUUGAGGGGGUUUUAUUUUUUGUUCUGAUUUGUUUUGUUUGAGUACAUAUUUUCCUCAUUCUCUAGAAUAGUGUAAGGCAGGCUGUUUUCCAGCUUUUGUCACCUGUCUUUUAUCAUCUGUGAUUUGCUGGACUUCAUGAAGAAUGUUGAGGCUUAAAUACUGCAUUUGGCAAUAUAAGUCAUUUGACUGAAGAGGUCUUUGUAUUAACAAGGCACUGGAAAUCAGUCCACAUCCUUCUCUGCAUGUGUCAUAAUAUGGCUCUUACUGUGCAGAUAAGGCAGCCAGGCUGACAACACUGGCUGCAGUCUGUUCUUGUUUGACGAAAACAGUGCAGAUGUUCCCCAUCGGACAUAAAAAGGUCAAAGAAAGCAACUGAAUGUUGCCUUAAAAGAGGCAUAGAGGCAUACUCAGGCAUUAGUAUUUUUCACCUGAAUUGUUUUGUGACUUAAUGAAAAAGGGAGCAAAUGAGUUAACAGAUGAGUUCAGCUUUUGUUGUUGUUGUUGUUGUUUUUUCUAUUUGUAAAGCUUUCAAAGCAUUUCAUAGGACCUGAUUUACAGUCUUACAAAAAGUACAUGUUGGCUGAGAAAUACACAUAUUACCAGCAACAACCUAUAAGAAGAGAAUGGAAAAAACGCUACCAUUCUGUGCAAGCCUUCUGCCUGUAGAUACUUACUGGGGCAGAAAGCUGCAAAUGAAGGUAUAUUGUCCCUGUCUCAUUUCCUAAGCAUUUUAACUCCUUUCAAUACUGAUGAAGCCAAACUGAUGGCUAAUAAAAUCUGUGUACUCAGUAUUCUUGUUUUAUUAAAACAUUGUUAAAAUUUAACAAAAUGAUAAUGGAAUUAUUUAGCAUGAUUUCUAAUAAGGUUUUGGUCCAUGGAUGAACUUCAUUGCUUUCACCAGCUUUCUCUUAAAACCAUGAUGUCCAUUUGCUUUCAGAAGUCACCUACCAUAACCAAACAGUGAAAA